GUGGGAUUGAGACUAUGGCUAGUGCUCUUAAGAUGACAAUUGCAUGGCCCUACAAUAAAAUCAAGGAAUGCAGGAAGAAGGCACCUGAACCUCCCAAGGGCACUACACGAAGUGCUGGGCAGAUGCCUUUGUCUUGACUUUUUGGAAAAUGAUUCAUGUGCUAUAAUUUUGGAAGUGUUGGGCACAAGUGUUUGCUUGAGUUUAUGGAAGGUGGCUGUACACAUAACCUGGUGGAUGUAAUAUGUGUUGGCAAGCCAUUGCUUUUGGCUUUUGAUUUCUUAGAAAUGAAUGUGUGCCCAAACCUUU